GCCGGGCAUGGUGGCUCAUGCCUGUAAUCCCAGCACUUUGGGAGGCUGAGGUGGGGGGAUCACCUGAGGUCAGGAGUUCAAGACCAGCCUGACCAACAUGGAGAAACCCUGUCUCUA
rnacentral:SRP_RNA from 1 species